AGGGUGUGAUGAUUUGGAAGAAACCCAGGCUGCCCUGGAUGGAAUGGGGGCCGUGGUUUGAAGCUUGGCUGUGUUGCUUGGAAUUACCGCCCUCUUGGGCAUUCUGCUUCUGAGGCUGCAAUUGCCAAUCUCACCAACCCACCGGACCAGAGGACCCUGGCUUCCAAGGUAUUGGCAUCCCCUGAUCAAGCUAAGUGUCUUGGACCUGUAUGAUGGAAAAAAGAAGGAAGACAAGGAAGAGAAGGAGGAAGAGAAUAUUCAGCCUUAAAAAUGGAGGAAAUCACGUCACAAGCUGCAACGUAAAUAAGUGUCAUGGACAUUAUGCCAAGUGAAACAAACCAGGCACAAAAGGACAAAUGCUGUCUGAUUCCACUCAUGGGAGGACCCCGGAGAAGUUCAAGUCAUGGAGACAGAAAGUGGAAUGACGGUUUCCAGGGCCUGGGGGGAGGAGGAAUGGGGUGUGAGUGUUUAAUGAGUGCUGAGCUUUUGUUUGGGAUGAUAAAAAAAAGUUCUGGAAACGGUUAACGAUGUUGGUUGUACAAAUGUGAAUGUACCUAAUGCUGCUAAACUGUACACUUGAAAAUGGUUAAGAAGGUAAAUUUUAUGUUAUGUGUACUUCAUCACAAUUUAAAAGAAAAGAAAUAAAAUGUCUAUGGAA
rnacentral:lncRNA from 10 species